rnacentral:rRNA from 1 species
GACGAACGCUGGCGGCGUGCCUAAUACAUGCAAGUAGAACGCUGAAGGAAGGAGCUUGCUCUUUCUGGAUGAGUUGCGAACGGGUGAGUAACGCGUAGGUAACCUGCCUGGUAGCGGGGGAUAACUAUUGGAAACGAUAGCUAAUACCGCAUAAAAUUGAUUAUUGCAUGAUAGUCAAUUAAAAGGUGCAACUGCACCACUACCAGAUGGACCUGCGUUGUAUUAGCUAGUUGGUGGGGUAACGGCUCACCAAGGCGACGAUACAUAGCCGACCUGAGAGGGUGAUCGGCCACACUGGGACUGAGACACGGCCCAGACUCCUACGGGAGGCAGCAGUAGGGAAUCUUCGGCAAUGGACGGAAGUCUGACCGAGCAACGCCGCGUGAGUGAAGAAGGUGUUCGGAUCGUAAAGCUCUGUUGUAAGAGAAGAACGAGUGUGAGAGUGGAAAGUUCACACUGUGACGGUAUCUUACCAGAAAGGGACGGCUAACUACGUG